GUUUUCAAGAUAACAUGACUGGUAGAGAUACGAAUGUAAAUAGCGUCCUACGAGUUACAUGUUUUGCGCUGAUUUCGGUGUAAAAUGUUGCAAGAGAAAUGUGUGGAGCCGAAAGACGUUGAAUAUACUUAUGAUGAAGCUGUGGAAUUGACUGGCCAUGGCCGAUACAACCACCUGGUCUUGGUGGCAUGCAGUGUCAUCAGUAACGCCGUGGCACUGGACAUGUUCGCCUUCGGCUUGAUCCUGGCUACGGCCUCAUGCGACCUCCAGUUGGGCAUCUGGCAUAUUGGCCUGCUUGGUUCUAUACCAUUUGCUGGUCUUCUCUUCGCGUUCCCAUGGGGCUACUACGCCGACAUCAGCGGACGGAGACGGGCGCUGCUGCUGUCCUGCUCUGUCGGCUUCAUUAUGGCCGCCGUCGGGAGUCUGUCCCCGAACUGGCAGACGCUGCUGGUCAUGAAGCUGGUGGGCUGCAGUUUUUCCACUGCAUCAUUCAGCCUAACGAUGACGUACUUGGGCGAGUGCACGGGCAACAAACACAGGAGCCAAUACAUGUUCAUCAUGAACAGCAUCAACCUCUUCUCCGAAGCUGUCACUUUCAUGCUAGCCCUCGCCAUACUACCCCUAACCUUCAACAUCCCUAUCCCCUGGCUGGGCGUCACCUACCGACCCUGGCGACUCUUGACUCUCAUCCUGGCCAUUCCCCUUGGAGUCGGCGCGGCCAUGAUGUGGUUCCUACACGAAAGCCCCAAGUUCCUGGCCAAUAGAGGGUACAAUGAUACGGCGUUGGAGGUGCUGAGGAAAAUCUUUGAGGCCAAUGGGGGGAGGAAAGAUGAGUAUCAGGUGAAAAGUAUUUCGAAAACUAUGGAAACGCAAAAGAAAGAGCCAUUUUGGCAGUUGAUCGUACAGCAGACUGUGCCAAUCUUCAAGCCACCUCUACUGUGGAGGACCAUACAACUCUUCUAUUUGAUGAUGCUCUGCUGUGCCAUUAACAACAUAUUCGUGAUGUGGUACCCCACUAUCGUCAACUCCUUCUUCACGUCCCUCUCAUAUGGUGUGGUAGAGGAGAAAAGCUUCUGCGAUCGGUUCGUCAGUAACCUGACAGCUGAUCCUAGCGAAACUGGCGAUUGGUCCUGUAAUGACAUCAUCACCCCCAGCACCAUCUACACCGGCAUUAUGACCGGCUUCUUCUACACCGGCCUGAAUCUCUCCGUCUCUAAGCUCGCCAAGUGGCGCCGUAGCGUUUUACUCACUAUCUACUUAAUCCCUGGUAUCUGCAUGGUCUUGACCAAUGUUGUAAAAGAGCCUAUUGUCAGUUUGAUUAUGUUUGCUCUUGUCCAGGGAACGGCUAUUGGUAUUGGGGUUGUGGCGUCGUAUUUUGUGGAUCUGUAUCCGACUUCAUAUAGGGCCUUCGUGACAAGCCUUGCUUUGAUAACAGCUCGGCUGGGCUCUCUGUCCGGCAUCAACAUCAUCGGGCACGCCAUGACCACUAACUGCGAGAUCACUUUCUACUGCUGCGCGGGUUUAGUGUUCAGUGAGUUGUCCUAGGGGCUUUGUGACAAGUCUCGCUCAGAUGACAGCUCGGCUGGGCUCUCUGUCCGGCAUCAACAUCAUCAAGCACGCCAUGACCACUAACUGCAAGAUGACUUUCUACUGCUGCGCUGCUUUAGAGUUCAGUGGCGUUGCUGUAACCCUGCUUCUACCUUCAGACAAAAAAUCUAACGGAUGAGAAUAAAU